rnacentral:rRNA from 1 species
AGAGUUUGAUCCUGGCUCAGGAUGAACGCUGGCGGCGUGCUUAACACAUGCAAGUCGAACGGGGGCAGGAGGAAACCUAGUGAAUCCUGCCCUAGUGGCGGACGGGUGAGUAACGCGUGGGCAACCUGCCGCAUACCGGGGGAUAACACUUAGAAAUAGGUGCUAAUACCGCAUAAGCGCACAGAGCCGCAUGGCUUGGUGUGAAAAACUCCGGUGGUAUGCGAUGGGCCCGCGUCUGAUUAGCUUGUUGGCGGGGCAGCGGCCCACCAAGGCGACGAUCAGUAGCCGGCCUGAGAGGGUGGACGGCCACAUUGGGACUGAGACACGGCCCAGACUCCUACGGGAGGCAGCAGUGGGGAAUAUUGCACAAUGGGGGGAACCCUGAUGCAGCGACGCCGCGUGAGUGAAGAAGUAUUUCGGUAUGUAAAGCUCUAUCAGCAGGGAAGAAAAUGACGGUACCUGACUAAGAAGCCCCGGCUAACUACGUG